UAAAGUAGUGGGGUUUCUAUAUAAGCUGUCCCCUGGUGGUCAGAUUUAAGUUGUGAAACUUAUAAAUGUCUUUCUAACUGCAGCUUGUUGUCACACAAUGUGUUUUUUUCUUCCCCCUUGAAGGAGGACAUUCUAUGAGUUUCUGUCUCCUGGAUGCUGACCUUUUCCCUUUGCUGUGGAAGCUUGCUUGGGAUUCAGUUUCUCAUUCACAGGUCCUGUUUGGACCCGUGCUGAGCAGUUAAACCCCUCUCAUCUGUGAACUCCUCACAAGAACAGGAGCUGAAGCAUGGAUUUCAGUAGUCCAACACCCUGGAUAUGCCACAAUUGCCACCCAGGAGCCACUUGAACCUGGGGACACCUCUGCUAUAUAAAUUUCCCCUAAGGAGCAUCACAUUUUACAGUGAGAGACUGGGAGUCUUUUGAAUUAAGAAGAAUAGUAGAAGAAGAAAAUGUG